GGUGAACGCUGGCGGUAGGCCUAACACAUGCAAGUCGAACGGCAGCACAGUAAGAGCUUGCUCUUACGGGUGGCGAGUGGCGGACGGGUGAGGAAUACAUCGGAAUCUACUUUUUCGUGGGGGAUAACGUAGGGAAACUUACGCUAAUACCGCAUACGACCUGCGGGUGAAAGCAGGGGAUCUUCGGACCUUGCGCGAUUGAAUGAGCCGAUGUCGGAUUAGCUAGUUGGCGGGGUAAAGGCCCACCAAGGCGACGAUCCGUAGCUGGUCUGAGAGGAUGAUCAGCCACACUGGAACUGAGACACGGUCCAGACUCCUACGGGAGGCAGCAGUGGGGAAUAUUGGACAAUGGGCGCAAGCCUGAUCCAGCCAUACCGCGUGGGUGAAGAAGGCCUUCGGGUUGUAAAGCCCUUUUGUUGGGAAAGAAAAGCAGCAGGUUAAUACCCCGCUGUUCUGACGGUACCCAAAGAAUAAGCACCGGCUAACUUCGUG
rnacentral:rRNA from 1 species